UCCAAGGCUAUCUGGUCUUUCUCCUGAGAUCUACCUCCCGGACAUUUCCAAACGGGUGGCCAGAGGCAAAGGCCCAAGACUCUCACUGAAGGAUCAGGCGGUCUCCUUGCAUCGAUCAAGAAAUGAGAGACCAAAUAUCAGUUCCAGUAGGACAGCUGGUAUGAGUAUGCAGCUGCCUAUACCCUGUGAUUGGAUUGGUCCCAAGGAGACCUCCCUAUGCAAAAAUCCCUCCUUAACUUGUCAUGGGACCUGAAAUUCUAUCAAUAGAGACUGAGUCCUUAAGGCCUUUUUACCCCAAAUCUACAAGAAUCCUCUAUUUGCUUUGAGGGGUUCUAGAUAUUCUCUGACAAAGAAUAGCAGCCCACCCGGUAUAUUGUACAAAAGAAACACUUUUACUACAUUUAGUAUUCAAGAAGCAUCAAGGGGUUGGAUGCUGAAUGCAAAUGAAACAUGUCCCCAAAACAUAUACUUGGAUGCCCAUCAAUUGGGGAAUGGUUGAACAAGUUGUGGUACAUGAAUGUAAUGGAAUACU